rnacentral:lncRNA from 10 species
AAUGGAAUGACUUUAAUUGCAGAUGCAUUUAAGAAAUUUGUGAAGCUAGAGCUCAUCUAACCUGUCAUCAUUACUCUUCAUCACCCUCAAGCAAAUGGUCAGGCUGAAAGAAUGAUGCAGACCACUAAGGAAGCCAUAAAGUAAACUAUCAGAAGAAAGUGACUGAGGAGAUUUGCCCAGCUUUUCAUCACUCAACAUAUCAGUCCAAGUGGGACAACAGAAGUCAGUUCUCCUGAAUAAAAAAGGCAGCAACAUUGCAACUGUGCCUUUGACAGUUCCCAUAUAAAGCUUAGCUUAGAAUUUAUAGACAAACCAGAAUGUACUCUGGGAAUAGUACUCAUUCUUAAUUCAUUUUUCUAGAAGAAUUUGUGUUGACUAGAAUUUUAAAUGAAACAGAAAGGGGCAUGUUCCUAUUUAACUAAAAUCACGGUGUGUGUGUUAUUACAAGGGCUAGACUGUAGAUGGAACUAAGUGGCAUAACACUAACAAGAGCAAUUCAGUGUUAUGUUCAGGUUUUUUACAUUCCUGCUAGUAUUUUAUUUCUUUUAAGUUCAUUAUAUGCCACUGUGUACUUAUUUUAAGUUCAGAUAUAUUAUAUGACAAAGUUAACCAAGAAUAUUUUCUUUCACCAAAAAUAAGACUCAAACCCUCUUUUUCUGCUUAACAUCAAUCAAAUCUCCAAAAAGUUAGGAGAAUUUGGAAAGGAGUACAGAAAAGAGUGAAUGUGUCUACCAAAUACUUCUAGCUUUCCUUUUUCUGGUCACAUGGUAAGAUUGCCCUUAGCCUCCCCUUUGGUAUCCUACAUGAACAUGGGAUAUACUUUGACCAAUUAUUUUAAGCAAAAGUGGUAUGUGUCACUUCUAGGUGAAAGUUCAGGCAACCUGUGACGGAUUCAUUACAUCAUUUUUCCCUGGUGAAGAAGCCUGAGUUGAGAUAAAGCAUCAAUCAUCUUGGGUCCCAGGUUUACUACAAUAAGUAGAGCCUCUUGCCAAUCCCUCUUGGGUAUGUAUGAAGAGAACAAGAAAUAAAAUUUGUUAUAUUAAGCCACUUAGAUUUUGGAUUACUGCAGAAUAACCUAGACUAUCUUGACUUACAUAAAAUUAAU